GCCUAACUAGUUCAGUUGGUGGAGCAUGUGAUUCUUGAUCUCAGGGUUUUAAGUUCAAGCCCUGUGUUGGGUG
rnacentral:tRNA from 1 species